CGCAACCGCGCGGAUCCUUCACGAUUCGGGUGAAAUCGUACCCUGCAGACUGGAAACGGGUUGUAGGGAGCUCACGACCGCAGAAAAUGCCACAAAAGUGAGGCGGGUGUGCAGAAGUAAAGGAGGAACAGCUGAAGAAUCCAGGCUUGUCACAACCGGAGCGGGAAAGAAGCAGACGUAAAUGCGCAGGAUAUAAGCCUUCCAGGCUUGCCGUUACCGUAGCGAGAGAAAACGGACGCACGUCGAGAAACAAGCUGAAGCCUCCCAGGCUUGCAGUUACCGUAACGAGAGAAAACGGACGGGUGUGAGAAAGCAGACUAGACAGAUCGGCAAAAGCACAAACAGUGUCCAGCCCGAACAAGUAAAUCUACAGCUAUGAGCAGCGCCAGUUCCCAGUGCUUAAGCAUGAAAACACGACAGAUCGGUAUUAAUCUUCCUAAACUGGACGGGCGUUUCAGUCCAGUAGACACAGAACUCAAAUUGAGUCACAGGUCUCACUUGGUCGUGGAGGCGUCACCACGACAAAUCUCUAAAGCAACGCGAAUCAGGGGCGCGGACGUUCAGGCGGCUAGUCCAAAUGAAUUUAACCCUUGCAUGGACUCGUGGUGAUAGGAGAGACUAAAUCCUCUCAUACCUCAAACAUACGACCGCCUCUCACACGACUUACAGUCCAAUGAGAGUAAAUGUUCUCUGAACCACUUACCGAUUCAGACACAUAUGAGCCAUUUUGUCUUUGUUUUGACACUUAAUGUUAAAUGUCGAUCUACUAGUAUAAUUUAGCCAUUAUGAAACUAGUUAGAAUCCUUGAAUGUCGCUACCUAAUGAGAGCAUAUGAUUUGAAGGCCAGCAAAGAACUGAGUCGGAGACAUUUUAGCCACGACAAGUGGGCGCACGAUUACACCUUUCAAGCAGAAGAAGUCUGCUGUAAUGUUUAUUUGGUAUUAUGUUUAUAUUAGAGAUCAAGAUAUGGAGAGCAACCGUUAGGCUCUCAAGCAAUUAUGUUGGAUAUAUGAUGUAGAAAAGUAAUCUGUUCAGUCUCCGGCGCACUUCUUACGGAAGUGAAAGUUUUAGAAAUUUUUCGUGAAUGGCAAUAGCAAUUCACGAAAAAUUUUUGCCAUUGGGUAGGGUUGUGUAGCAGUUAAAUUAUUUGAUUAGAUGUUAACUCAAUUUGAACAUCUUCAACACACACAUUAUACUAAGUUAAAGUUAAGCGUGUAUGAAUCCACCACAAGGGCCGCCUGCCAGCUUGAAAGUGAAACAUCAUCAACAAACUUUCUGCAGUAACUAUAUCCAUUCUACCUGUCAGUUGCGAAGAGAGUGUUUCCGCUUACUAAAAAAAGGAAUCACAAUAAAAAGUAAUGGUGUAAGGUGCAGCCGUGAUUCCUGCUUCGUGCGCUUAAACCGGCUGAAAAAAUACUCGUGCGGGACAGAACGCACAAAUUACAAAACGAUUUUACUUUGGAAAGGGUCGCACGGAAAAAAAUACGCGAUUCCGACAGUCACACGAGUGUUGAUCCGGUCAAAACUCAAGCGUACAAGCAGGAACACAACGUCCGUUCACACAAGGCCUGUUGAUCUAAUCAGGGUUGAUUCCGGAUCGUACCGGAUUGCACUGGGAAGAUAAGAAUCCUGAAGGUAUCAGUACCAGCAAGCAGUGAUCUGCGAACGAAAAGCGAUACGCUUUUAACCAGCCUAGCAAACACGAAACGGAAAACGCCUUCCAAGAGAAGGCUCCUUUUCCGACACUUAAAGUGUCCUACUACAAGCAUCGGGACUCAGAUACCGGCUCAUCAGAAGUUCAAUCAAGGCGUCGGUCGAACAGGAACAAUUCGCAGGCAGAUCAGUUGGUGGAAGGAAUCUGGUCACCGCAGCUGUGCACCUGGACGCAGGUGAGCAGCCUGAGUACAAGCGGGUAAUAGGAGACCGUGACGCAAUAGGUCCCACGGUCGAGCUCAAGGGGAUUUUGUCACUAACGAGGGCACGCCGGAUGGAACGGAAGGUGGCGAGACACACGGUUCAUAUCGUGAGAUGCCGCAGCGGAUGGCGGGGCUGUGAGUACUAGCUUUUAAGAAGUGAAUAGAAUCAGUAGGCUGGAAGGGCAGAGCAGCAGGGAUAGGUGGAUAGAAGAAGUCAGAGAAAAAAGAGGAAUGUGUGAAGAGAGAUGAAUAAAGGGGUAGGAUGUUCAAAAUGACACGUGUAGGUUUUGGUUUUAUGAGCAGUCGGCCCAGUUGAGGCAAGUUGUC